GACGAACGCUGGCGGCGUGCCUAAUACAUGCAAGUAGGACGCACAGUCUAUACCGUAGCUUGCUACACCAUAGGCUGUGAGUUGCGAACGGGUGAGUAACGCGUAGGUAACCUGCCUAUUAGAGGGGGAUAACUAUUGGAAACGAUAGCUAAUACCGCAUAACAGUAUGUAACACAUGUUAGAUGCUUGAAAGAUGCAAUUGCAUCGCUAGUAGAUGGACCUGCGUUGUAUUAGCUAGUAGGUAGGGUAAUGGCCUACCUAGGCGACGAUACAUAGCCGACCUGAGAGGGUGAUCGGCCACACUGGGACUGAGACACGGCCCAGACUCCUACGGGAGGCAGCAGUAGGGAAUCUUCGGCAAUGGACGGAAGUCUGACCGAGCAACGCCGCGUGAGUGAAGAAGGUUUUCGGAUCGUAAAGCUCUGUUGUAAGAGAAGAACGAGUGUGAGAGUGGAAAGUUCACACUGUGACGGUAUCUUACCAGAAAGGGACGGCUAACUACGUGCCAGCAGCCGCGGUAAUACGUAGGUCCCGAGCGUUGUCCGGAUUUAUUGGGCGUAAAGCGAGCGCAGGCGGUUAGAUAAGUCUGAAGUUAAAGGCUGUGGCUUAACCAUAGUACGCUUUGGAAACUGUUUAACUUGAGUGCAAGAGGGGAGAGUGGAAUUCCAUGUGUAGCGGUGAAAUGCGUAGAUAUAUGGAGGAACACCGGUGGCGAAAGCGGCUCUCUGGCUUGUAACUGACGCUGAGGCUCGAAAGCGUGGGGAGCAAACAGG
rnacentral:rRNA from 1 species